UACGUAGGUGGCAAGCGUUGUCCGGAUUUUCUGGGCGUAAAGAGCGCGCAGGCGGUCGUUCAAGUCGCGUGUGAAAGCCCCCGGCUCAACUGGGGAGGGUCACGCGAUACUGAUCGACUCGAAGGCAGGAGAGGGUAGUGGAAUUCCCGGUGUAGUGGUGAAAUGCGUAGAUAUCGGGAGGAACACCAGUGGCGAAGGCGACUACCUGGCCUGUUCUUGACGCUGAGGCGCGAAAGCUAGGGGAGCAAACGGG
rnacentral:rRNA from 1 species